UGCGGCUCCCAAAGUGUUUCCUCCGGAAUGCCUGCCUGAUGAUAACAGGAUCCCUUUCAUAUAUAUUAGGCAAACACGGGCCCAAGGCCGUGUCUCCAACAACAAAGCAGCUUUUGAAUCACACGGAUUACACAUUUAAAAAAGAAAUAAUUAC